rnacentral:rRNA from 1 species
CACGUAGGGCGCGAGCGUUGUCCGGAAUUAUUGGGCGUAAAGAGCUCGUAGGCGGCCUGUUGCGUCCGCUGUGAAAGCCCGGGGCUUAACCCCGGGUCGGCAGUGGAUACGGGCAGGCUAGAGGUAGGUAGGGGAGAAUGGAAUUCCCGGUGUAGCGGUGAAAUGCGCAGAUAUCGGGAGGAACACCGGUGGCGAAGGCGGUUCUCUGGGCCUUACCUGACGCUGAGGAGCGAAAGUGUGGGGAGCGAACAGG